AACACAUGCAAGUCGAACGAGCGAGAGAGAGCUUGCUUUCUCGAGCGAGUGGCGAACGGGUGAGUAACGCGUGAGGAACCUGCCUCAAAGAGGGGGACAACAGUUGGAAACGACUGCUAAUACCGCAUAAGCCCACGGGUCGGCAUCGACCGGAGGGAAAAGGAGCAAUCCGCUUUGAGAUGGCCUCGCGUCCGAUUAGCUAGUUGGUGAGGUAAUGGCCCACCAAGGCGACGAUCGGUAGCCGGACUGAGAGGUUGAACGGCCACAUUGGGACUGAGACACGGCCCAGACUCCUACGGGAGGCAGCAGUGGGGAAUAUUGCACAAUGGGGGAAACCCUGAUGCAGCGACGCCGCGUGGAGGAAGAAGGUCUUCGGAUUGUAAACUCCUGUUGUUGGGGAAGAUAAUGACGGUACCCAACAAGGAAGUGACGGCUAACUACGUGCCAGCAGCCGCGGUAAAACGUAGGUCACAAGCGUUGUCCGGAAUUACUGGGUGUAAAGGGAGCGCAGGCGGGAAGACAAGUUGGAAGUGAAAUCUAUGGGCUCAACCCAUAAACUGCUUUCAAAACUGUUUUUCUUGAGUAGUGCAGAGGUAGGCGGAAUUCCCGGUGUAGCGGUGGAAUGCGUAGAUAUCGGGAGGAACGCCAGUGGCGAAGGCGGCCUACUGGGCACCAACUGACGCUGAGGCUCGAAAGUGUGGGUAGCAAACAGGAUUAGAUACCCUGGUAGUCCACACCGUAAACGAUGAUUACUAGGUGUUGGAGGAUUGACCCCUUCAGUGCCGCAGUUAACACAAUAAGUAAUCCACCUGGGGAGUACGACCGCAAGGUUGAAACUCAAAUGAAUUGACGG
rnacentral:rRNA from 1 species